rnacentral:rRNA from 1 species
GAUGAACGCUGGCGGCGUGCUUAACACAUGCAAGUCGAACGAUGAUCUCCAGCUUGCUGGGGGGAUUAGUGGCGAACGGGUGAGUAACACGUGAGUAACCUGCCCUUGACUCUGGGAUAAGCCUGGGAAACUGGGUCUAAUACCGGAUACGACCGCUCCACGCAUGUGGUGGUGGUGGAAAGCUUUUGCGGUUUUGGAUGGACUCGCGGCCUAUCAGCUUGUUGGUGGGGUAAUGGCCUACCAAGGCGACGACGGGUAGCCGGCCUGAGAGGGUGACCGGCCACACUGGGACUGAGACACGGCCCAGACUCCUACGGGAGGCAGCAGUGGGGAAUAUUGCACAAUGGGCGGAAGCCUGAUGCAGCGACGCCGCGUGAGGGAUGACGGCCUUCGGGUUGUAAACCUCUUUCAGUAGGGAAGAAGCGUAAGUGAC